GGGAUCGAUCGAACAAGGGCAGGGAAGAGGGUGAAUAACCCUAAACUCAAGAAAUCAAGAAUUGAAGCUUAAAUCUCAAGAAAAUUCGAUGCAUGAGCACCUUUUUGCGAAAAUCUGACCCUAAUUAGUGAAGUGGCGUAAAAGAAGAAGGUACAAGCACUAAGCAAGCGGAAGGAGCACAAGAUCGAGGUAAAGCACCUCUAUAGGCGACUUGGAGAUGUGGAGCGAGCACACGUUCAAGCAUUACUUUACCAAGCGCUUCCGCAAGUUAUAUGCAUGUUUUUGGGCUCACGUUUUGUUACUUAGAUUAAAUCAUGUUAGAAGUUUACACUUGAAAACUUAUGGUAUGUUUGGGUAGUUUUAAACUAGUAAGGUCGUAGAUGAAUAUUGUCUUUUAUGUUAAAACAGGGGGCAUGUCCGUUUUUACAAACGGGUCAUGCCCAAAUUUUGUAA